UACAGAGGGUGCAAGCGUUAAUCGGAGUUACUGGGCGUAAAGGGCGCGUAGGCGGUUCGAUAAGUCGGGUGUGAAAGCCCCGGGCUUAACCUGGGAAUUGCAUUCGAGACUGUCGAGCUAGAGUAUGGUAGAGGAAAGCGGAAUUCCACAUGUAGCGGUGAAAUGCGUAGAUAUGUGGAGGAACAUCAGUGGCGAAGGCGGCUUUCUGGACCAAUACUGACGCUGAGGCGCGAAAGCGUGGGGAGCAAAC
rnacentral:rRNA from 1 species